GGUGCCUUGGUCUGGAGUAACAACAAACCAUUCAACCUCACCUUUUGCUAAAGAAAUGUACGAGAAGAUAAAAGAUUCCCUUAUUGGUUAUGAAGUUGUUAUCAAUCGGUGGCCUCAUUACUCUUUGGUCUUGGAAAAUGCUGUUGCCAAUGUGGAAAGAGCCAUUCUUAAAGCACUGGAGAAACAAUAUAAUGACAUCUUGACUCCUUUGAAAGAUAGUAUUCCAAAAAGACUUAACAUGCAUGUCCAGAAGCUGACACGAAGGCAGUCGACAGCUCUAUACUCAGUUCCCAGCCAAGUGACUGCACCAUAAUCAAUAUAAUUGAACUCCAGUCUAUUGGGUCAGCCGUGAAUAUAGUUCUUGCAUAUCCUAAUUUAGUUGUUGUUAAUGGUGACAGGAAUAUUCCUUAACACUGUCAAGAGAAUUCUUGAUGUCUUGCAUUGUAGAGUGGAGGAGAUCUUAAAGUCUUGGGCAUCCUGUCUGCCUCUCACCGGGGACAAGAAGUCUCUGUUUGGAGAGCAGAUGAAUGGGAUAACUGUCAUGUUGAGAACGAAGUAUAAAAAUUAUUUGCAGGCAACGGUGGAGAAGCUUGUUAACAAUACUCAAGCUAAUCGAAAUACGAGACUGAAAAGGAUACAUGAGGAAAUAAAGGAACUGAGAUCCGCGAGCGAAUGCAG